AGGAAAGUGGAUGAGAAAUCCUUCGGGGUGCGAUCAUGCUGACGAGUGGCGAACGGGUGCGUAACACGUAGGAAUCUACCCAGCAGCGGGGGACAACCCGGAGAAAUCCGGGCUAAUACCGCAUACGCCCUACGGGGGAAAGAUGGGGACCUCUUCGGAGGCCUGUCACUGUCGGAUGAGCCUGCGGCCGAUUAGCUUGUUGGUAGGGUAAUGGCCUACCAAGGCGACGAUCGGUAGCUGGUCUGAGAGGAUGAUCAGCCACACUGGGACUGAGACACGGCCCAGACUCCUACGGGAGGCAGCAGUGGGGAAUAUUGGACAAUGGGGGCAACCCUGAUCCAGCAAUGCCGCGUGUGUGAAGAAGGCCUUCGGGUUGUAAAGCACUUUCAGUAGGGAAGAAAUGCUCGGCGUAAAUAGCGUCGAGUGCUGACGGUACCUACAGAAGAAGCACCGGCUAAUUCCGUGCCAGCAGCCGCGGUAAUACGGAAGGUGCUAGCGUUAAUCAGAAUCACUGGGCGUAAAGCGCGCGUAGGCGGCUUGGUAAGUCAGAUGUGAAAGCCCCGGGCUCAACCUGGGAACUGCAUUUGAAACUGCCGGGCUAGAGUGCAGUAGAGGGAAGUGGAAUUCCGCGUGUAGCGGUGAAAUGCGUA
rnacentral:rRNA from 1 species